GAUCAUGGCUCAGGACAAACGCUGGCGGCGUGCUUAACACAUGCAAGUCGAACGAGAAUCUGUGGAAAGAGGAUUCGUCCAAUUGAAGCAGAGGACAGUGGCGGACGGGUGAGUAACGCGUGAGGAACCUGCCUUUCAGAGGGGGACGAACAGUUGGAAACGACUGCUAAUACCGCAUAACACAUAGGUGUCGCAUGGCACUUAUGUCAAAGAUUUAUCG
rnacentral:rRNA from 1 species